CCUUAACCUGCUAAAUAGCUGUGAGAACGCGAGUUCUUGAGAGCUUCUUAGAGGGACUAACCACAUUUAGUGGUUGGAAGUUUGAGGCAAUAACAGGUCUGUGAUGCCCUUAGAUGUUCUGGGCUGCACGCGCGCUACACUGAUAGAGGCAGCGAGUCUACCGCCUUGACCGGAAGGUCUGGGUAAUCUUGUGAAACUCUAUCGUGCUGGGGAUAGACCAUUGCAAUUAUUGGUCUUCAACGAGGAAUUCCUAGUAAGCGCAUGUCAUCAGCAUGCGUUGAUUACGUCCCUGCCCUUUGUACACACCGCCCGUCACUACUACCGAUUGAGUGGCUUAGUGAGGCCUUUGGAUUUGACGGUGAGGCGCAAGCCUUGUAGUCGAAAAAAUUGGUCAAACUUGGUCAUUUAGAGGAAGUACAAGUCG
rnacentral:rRNA from 1 species